rnacentral:rRNA from 1 species
AACGAACGCUGGCGGCAUGCCUAACACAUGCAAGUCGAACGAGACCUUCGGGUCUAGUGGCGCACGGGUGCGUAACGCGUGGGAACCUGCCCUUAGGUUCGGAAUAACUCCCCGAAAGGGGUGCUAAUACCGGAUAAUGUCUUCGGACCAAAGAUUUAUCGCCUUUGGAUGGGCCCGCGUUGGAUUAGCUAGUUGGUAGGGUAAAAGCCUACCAAGGCGACGAUCCAUAGCUGGUCUGAGAGGAUGAUCAGCCACACUGGGACUGAGACACGGCCCAGACUCCUACGGGAGGCAGCUGUGGGGAGUAUUGGACAAUGGGCGAAAGCCUGAUCCAGCAAUGCCGCGUGAGUGAUGAAGGCCUUAGGGUUGUAAAGCUCUUUUACCCGGGAUGAUAAUGACAGUACCGGGAGAAUAAGCUCCGGCUAACUCCGUG